UAACUUAAAAGGCAAACUUAUCGAAAGGUAAGGACGCAAAGCUAUAGGGCCUCAAAUGGCAGCCAGUUGCAUUC
rnacentral:ncRNA from 1 species